rnacentral:rRNA from 1 species
UGAGGAAUAUUGGUCAAUGGGCGCAAGCCUGAACCAGCCAUCCCGCGUGCAGGAUGAAGGUCCUAUGGAUUGUAAACUUCUUUUAUACACCAAGAAAAACUCGAACGUGUUCGAGCCCGACGGUAGUGUAUGCAUAAGCAUCGGCUAACUCCGUGCCAGCAGCCGCGGUAAUACGGAGGAUGCAAGCGUUCUCCGGAUUCAUUGGGUUUAAAGGGUGCGUAGGCGGCUUUUUAAGUCAGUUGUGAUAUCGUGCCGCUUAACGGUAGAAUUGCCAUGGAUACUGAAAAGCUUGAGUACAAUUAGGGUAAGCGAAAUGUGUGGUGUAGCGGUGAAAUGCUUAGAUAUGACACAGAACACCAAGGGCGGAGGCAGCGUACUAAACUGUUACUGACGCUGAUGCACGAAAGCGUGGGGAGAGA